UACGGGAGGCAGCAGUGGGGAAUAUUGCACAAUGGGCGAAAGCCUGAUGCAGCGACGCCGCGUGAGGGAUGAAGGCCUUCGGGUUGUAAACCUCUUUCAGCAGGGAAGAAGCGCAAGUGACGGUACCUGCAGAAGAAGCGCCGGCUAACUACGUGCCAGCAGCCGCGGUAAUACGUAGGGCGCAAGCGUUGUCCGGAAUUAUUGGGCGUAAAGAGCUCGUAGGCGGUUUGUCGCGUCUGGUGUGAAAACUCGAGGCUCAACCUCGAGCUUGCAUCGGGUACGGGCAGACUAGAGUGCGGUAGGGGAGACUGGAAUUCCUGGUGUAGCGGUGGAAUGCGCAGAUAUCAGGAGGAACACCGAUGGCGAAGGCAGGUCUCUGGGCCGCAACUGACGCUGAGGAGCGAAAGCAUGGGGAGCGAACAGGAUUAGAUACCCUGGUAGUCCAUGCCGUAAACGUUGGGCACUAGGUGUGGGGCUCAUUCCACGAGUUCCGUGCCGCAGCAAACGCAUUAAGUGCCCCGCCUGGGGAGUACGGCCGCAAGGCUAAAACUCAAAGGAAUUGACGGGGGCCCGCACAAGCGGCGGAGCAUGCGGAUUAAUUCGAUGCAACGCGAAGAACCUUACCAAGGCUUGACAUGCACGRGAAGCCACCAGAGAUGGUGGUCUCUUUGGACACUCGUGCACAGGUGGUGCAUGGUUGUCGUCAGCUCGUGUCGUGAGAUGUUGGGUUAAGUCCCGCAACGAGCGCAACCCUCGUCCCAUGUUGCCAGCGGGUUAUGCCGGGGACUCAUGGGAGACUGCCGGGGUCAACUCGGAGGAAGGUGGGGAUGACGUCAAAUCAUCAUGCCCCUUAUGUCUUGGGCUUCACGCAUGCUACAAUGGCCGGUACAAAGGGCUGCGAUACCGUAAGGUGGAGCGAAUCCCAAAAAGCCGGUCUCAGUUCGGAUUGGGGUCUGCAACUCGACCCCAUGAAGUCGGAGUCGCUAGUAAUCGCAGAUCAGCAACGCUGCGGUGAAUACGUUCCCGGGCCUUGUACACACCGCCCGUCAAGUCACGAAAGUCGGUAACACCCGAAGCCCAUGGCCCAACC
rnacentral:rRNA from 1 species